ACUACAACGGGUGGAGCCUGUCGGUUUAAUUGGAUUCAACGCCGGAAAUCUCACCGGGGCGACAGCAAUAUGAAGGUCAGGCUGAAGACCUUACCCGAUUAGCUGGGAGGUGGUGCAUGGCCGUCGUCAGUUCGUACUGUGAAGCAUCCUGUUAAGUCAGGCAACGAGCGAGACCCACGUCCACAGUUGCCAGCAUACCCUCCGGGGUGAUGGGUACACUGUGGAGACCGCCGCUGCUAAAGCGGAGGAAGGAGUGGGCAACGGUAGGUCAGUAUGCCCCGAAUCUCCCGGGCUACACGCGGGCUACAAUGGUUGGUACAAUGGGCAUCUACCCCGAAAGGGGAAGGAAAUCUCUUAAAGCCAAUCGUAGUUCGGAUUGGGGGCUGCAACUCGCCCUCAUGAAGCUGGAAUCCGUAGUAAUCGCGUUUCAACAGAACGCGGUGAAUACGUCCCUGCUCCUU
rnacentral:rRNA from 1 species